UUGCUAUCCAUAAGCGGAGGAAAAGAAACCCAACAGGGAUUGCCUCAGUAACGGCGAGUGAAGCGGCAAAAGCUCAAAUUUGAAAUCCCCCGGGAAUUGUAAUUUGAAGAGAUUUGGGUCCGGCCGGCGGGGGUUAAGUCCACUGGAAAGUGGCGCCACAGAGGGUGACAGCCCCGUGAACCCCUUCAACGCCUUCAUCCCAGAUCUCCAAGAGUCGAGUUGUUUGGGAAUGCAGCUCUAAGUGGGUGGUAAAUUCCAUCUAAAGCUAAAUACCGGCGAGAGACCGAUAGCGAACAAGUACAGUGAUGGAAAGAUGAAAAGCACUUUGAAAAGAGAGUGAAAAAGUACGUGAAAUUGUUGAAAGGGAAGGGCUUGCAAGCAGACACUUAACUGGGCCAGCAUCGGGGCGGCGGGAAACAAAACCACCGGGGAAUGUACCUUUCGAGGAUUAUAACCCCGGUCUCAAUUUUCCUUG
rnacentral:rRNA from 1 species